rnacentral:tRNA from 121 species
GCGCUCGUAGCUCAGCUGGAUAGAGCAUCGGAUUUCGAUUCCGAGGGUCGGAGGUUCGAAUCCUUCCGAGCGCGCCA